rnacentral:lncRNA from 1 species
CAACAGAGGUUUCCCACUUAGGUAACCGUGAUCACGGAUACACAGCUGUGCUCAUCUGUUUGAAGCACCCAGCAAGCAUAACACAACCAAUGGCCCCAAUUGUUGGCCAACGAUGCAGCGUGUGCAGAGCUGACCUGCACCUAAUCUACCGACUGGUCUGUGGUCCACGUACAUUACUACUUUUCGCUGGCUUUUCGCUUGCCAGUCACUUUAGAGUGUGAUUUCUGCAAAACAGACUCGGACCAGAGUGCCCUUUCGAUGUCCUUGGCUCUCAGCACCCUGCCUGCGCGUCACAGCAUAGACUGCAUUAGACAGGCACAAUAGCAGAAAGUGCCUCCUUCAAAUUUGUAAGCUCUUGUGCAGGCAUGCAUACAGAACUCAUUGGUGUGGUUGAUACAUGACACUGGUGAUUGGUGCGCACUGUCUUGUCUGUUUCUCCCUUCAGCAUAUUUUUCUGAGAUCUGGUCCGCCUUGAACCUCAAGAGGUGCGCAAAUUCGAGGUAUCUUGGGAGCGUGUACUGCUUCGG